rnacentral:rRNA from 1 species
AACGAACGCUGGCGGCAUGCCUAACACAUGCAAGUCGAACGAGACCUUCGGGUCUAGUGGCGCACGGGUGCGUAACGCGUGGGAAUCUGCCCUUGGGUUCGGAAUAACAGUUAGAAAUGACUGCUAAUACCGGAUAAUGUCUUCGGACCAAAGAUUUAUCGCCCAGGGAUGAGCCCGCGUAGGAUUAGCUAGUUGGUGAGGUAAAGGCUCACCAAGGCGACGAUCCUUAGCUGGUCUGAGAGGAUGAUCAGCCACACUGGGACUGAGACACGGCCCAGACUCCUACGGGAGGCAGCAGUGGGGAAUAUUGGACAAUGGGCGAAAGCCUGAUCCAGCAAUGCCGCGUGAGUGAUGAAGGCCUUAGGGUUGUAAAGCUCUUUUACCCGGGAUGAUAAUGACAGUACCGGGAGAAUAAGCCCCGGCUAACUUCGUGCCAGCAGCCGCGGUAAU